rnacentral:rRNA from 1 species
GAACGAGACCUUCGGGUCUAGUGGCGCACGGGUGCGUAACGCGUGGGAAUCUGCCCUUGGGUUCGGAAUAACAGUUAGAAAUGACUGCUAAUACCGGAUGAUGACGUAAGUCCAAAGAUUUAUCGCCCAAGGAUGAGCCCGCGUAGGAUUAGCUAGUUGGUAAGGUAAAAGCUUACCAAGGCGACGAUCCUUAGCUGGUCUGAGAGGAUGAUCAGCCACACUGGGACUGAGACACGGCCCAGACUCCUACGGGAGGCAGCAGUGGGGAAUAUUGGACAAUGGGCGAAAGCCUGAUCCAGCAAUGCCGCGUGAGUGAUGAACGCCUUAGGGUUGUAAAGCUCUUUUACCCGGGAUGAUAAUGACAGUACCGGGAGAAUAAGCUCCGGCUAACUCCGUG